rfam:Triticum aestivum genome assembly, contig: Triticum_aestivum_CS42_TGACv1_scaffold_423186_5BS
GUAGUAUUCCCUCCGUCCCAAAAUUCUUGUCUUACAUUUGUUUAGAUACCGAUGCAUCUAACACUAAAAUGUAACUAGAUACAUCCGUAUUUAGACAAAUUUAAGACAAGAAUUUUGGGACGGAGGGAGUACAAA